rnacentral:rRNA from 1 species
AACGAACGCUGGCGGCAUGCCUAACACAUGCAAGACGAACGAGACCUUCGGGUCUAGUGGCGCACGGGUGCGUAACGCGUGGGAAUCUGCCCUUGGGUUUGGGAUAACAGUUGGAAACGACUGCUAAUACCGGAUGAUGUCUUCGGACCAAAGAUUUAUCGCCAGGGAUGAGCCCGCGUCGGAUUAGCUAGUUGGUGAGGUAAAGGCUCACCAAGGCGACGAUCCGUAGCUGGUCUGAGAGGAUGAUCAGCCACACUGGGACUGAGACACGGCCCAGACUCCUACGGGAGGCAGCAGUGGGGAAUAUUGGACAAUGGGCGAAAGCCUGAUCCAGCAAUGCCGCGUGAGUGAUGAAGGCCUUAGGGUUGUAAAGCUCUUUUACCCGGGAUGAUAAUGACAGUACCGGGAGAAUAAGCCCCGGCUAACUCCGUGCCAGCAGCCGCGGUAAUACGGAGGGGGCUAGCGUUGUUCGGAAUUACUGGGCGUAAAGCGCGCGUA